rnacentral:rRNA from 1 species
CAGCCGCCACGGUAAUACGAAGGGGGCUAGCGUUGUUCGGAUUUACUGGGCGUAAAGGGUGCGUAGGCGGACUGAUAAGUCAGGGGUGAAAUCCCAAGGCUCAACCUUGGAACUGCCUUUGAUACUGUUAGUCUUGAGUUCGAGAGAGGUGAGUGGAACUGCGAGUGUAGAGGUGAAAUUCGUAGAUAUUCGCAAGAACACCAGUGGCGAAGGCGGCUCACUGGCUCGAAACUGACGCUGAGGCACGAAAGCGUGGGGAGCAAACAGGAUUAGAUACCCCCGUAGUCCCUGUCUCUUAUAC